UACAUACUCCCUCCGAUCCUAAAUUGUUGUCAAAAUAUUACAUGUAUCUAGACACCUUUUAAGAAUAGAUACAUCCAUAUUUGGACAAAUUUGAGUCAAGAAUUUAGGAUCAGAGGGAGUACCAA
rfam:Brachypodium distachyon strain Bd21 chromosome 2, whole genome shotgun sequence.